rnacentral:rRNA from 1 species
GGGGGCCCGCACAAGCGGCGGAGCAUGUGGCUUAAUUCGACGCAACGCGAAGAACCUUACCAAGGCUUGACAUACACCGGAAAACCCUGGAGACAGGGUCCCCCUUGUGGUCGGUGUACAGGUGGUGCAUGGCUGUCGUCAGCUCGUGUCGUGAGAUGUUGGGUUAAGUCCCGCAACGAGCGCAACCCUUGUCCCGUGUUGCCAGCAGGCCCUUGUGGUGCUGGGGACUCACGGGAGACCGCCGGGGUCAACUCGGAGGAAGGUGGGGACGACGUCAAGUCAUCAUGCCCCUUAUGUCUUGGGCUGCACACGUGCUACAAUGGCCGGUACAAUGAGCUGCGAUACCGCGAGGUGGAGCGAAUCUCAAAAAGCCGGUCUCAGUUCGGAUUGGGGUCUGCAACUCGACCCCAUGAAGUCGGAGUCGCUAGUAAUCGCAAAUCAGCAUUGCUGCGGUGAAUACGUUCCCGGG